CACGCUGUAAACGAUGGGCACUAGGUGUGGGGGGUAUCCACUCCUCCCGUGCCGAAGCUAACGCAUUAAGUGCCCCGCCUGGGGAGUACGGCCGCAAGGUUAAAACUCAAAGGAAUUGACGGGGGCCCGCACAAGCGGUGGAGCAUGUGGUUUAAUUCGACGCAACGCGAAGAACCUUACCUGGGCUUGACAUCCCUGGAACCCCCUGGAAACAGGGGGGUGUCCUCGAAAGAGGAAGCCAGGAGACAGGUGC
rnacentral:rRNA from 1 species